rnacentral:lncRNA from 1 species
AACGCCUCAUAACAUAUUUAUCAGUCGAAUAUAAUUAAAAGUUAUUAUGCCACUUUCGCUUCAUCUCUCUCCUCUCUUUUAUGCCUCGUUUUCUGUUUUUUUUUUCUAAUUAACUCUUCCACUGUUCUCCAAUCUCUGCCUAUCUCUAUUUUCCAGAUCCUCCACUCGCGAGAUCUUCACCGACCCUCGACGGUGUCGUGUAUAUGCGAUCACCGAUACGCUCAAAUCUUAUUAUAUUUUCUACCUUUAUCUUAAAUUUAUUUUUGUCCUGCUUAGCUUAGUCUCCUCGAAAGACGUGCGUUGGACGUCAGAUGAAAGG